rnacentral:lncRNA from 1 species
GUAUGCGUCAAUUCUUGCAUUGAUCGGCUUAGAAGCGGUGAUACAUCUGCUAAGUCGGGUUUAUAAGGUGAUGAUAUGGCAUCCCCUAAAGCAAUGAGGAGUUAUUCACAACUUAGAUUGACUUAUCUUCUUGAAGAAGCAUAAAAGUCAUAUACGUCUCGCUUAGUGAUAUCUGAAACUGCAGCUGCAUUGCGUUAGUAUGUGCCCAUAUUUUUAGAUGGCGAACACAAUUUGAGCUACAAGGUAUCCUGGUCAAUUCUCAAUUCUCUAGAUACGAAGAAUGUGUUCAUAUGGUUAUUACAUUGAUGCUCAAAAUGGCCCGUCAUUGGUUAGUAAGCAUCGUACUUUGUGCUUUUACUUUUAAAGAACAAGAAAAAAAUUAUUUUUAUUUGCUACUAGAUGAGUAUCCUUGAUUGGAUUUUGUAAACCUCUAAAGAUGGGAAUUUGCUAUGUGUGUAUUUAUAUAAGGGUGUGCACAAUUUGGUUUGAAUUUUGGAUUAAUUUUCAUUUUAGUU